UACGUAGGGUGCGAGCGUUGUCCGGAAUUAUUGGGCGUAAAGGGCUCGUAGGCGGUUUGUCACGUCGGGAGUGAAAACUCAGGGCUCAACCCUGAGCCUGCUUCCGAUACGGGCAGACUAGAGGUAUGCAGGGGAGAACGGAAUUCCAGGUGUAGCGGUGAAAUGCGUAGAUAUCUGGAGGAACACCGGUGGCGAAGGCGGCAUCCUGGACCAACACUGACACUGAGGAGCGAAAGCCAGGGGAGCAAACGGG
rnacentral:rRNA from 1 species